rnacentral:piRNA from 1 species
UAUAUCAAACCGUUGUGCCAGACUUUG